rnacentral:rRNA from 1 species
GAUGAACGCUGGCGGCGCGCCUAACACAUGCAAGUCGAACGAUUAAAGCACCUUCGGGUGUGUAUAAAGUGGCGAACGGCUGAGUAACACGUGGGCAACCUGCCCCUCUCAUUGGGAUAGCCACGGGAAACCGUGGAUAAUACCGAAUACUUCGGGACUUCCGCAUGGAAGACUCGAGAAAGCUCCGGCGGAGAGGGAUGGGCCCGCGGCCUGUUAGCUUGUUGGUGGGGUAAUGGCCUACCAAGGCAAUGAUGGGUAGCUGGGUUGAGAGACCGACCAGCCAGAUUGGGACUGAGACACGGCCCAGACUCCUACGGGAGGCAGCAGUGGGGAAUCUUGCACAAUGGGCGAAAGCCUGAUGCAGCGACGCCGCGUGCGGGAUGAAGGCCUUCGGGUUGGAAACCGCUUUCAGCAGGGACGAGGCGAAAGUGACGGUACCUGCAGAAGAAGCCCCGGCUAACUACGU